rnacentral:misc_RNA from 1 species
UUAACUAUUAUAUAGUACUCAGACAUCACUAAACAAAAGAGUUGGGUCCUCUGGCAAGCGCUCGCCGGCCGGAGCCAGCAGCCCGAGGGCAGGCCUGCCAAAGCAACAAAGUGUAAUAAACAAAGGGUGGUAGGUUACCCGGGGGGCCUUGCGGCAACCCGGGUGACUACUGUAAUGAUCCUUCCGCAGGUUCACCUACGGAAA